AGCUUUUUGAAUCCGUGCUGAGAUUUCGUCAGACACCAACUGAUCAGACUUCCAAGAUAAGUGAAGUU
rfam:Schistosoma mansoni strain Puerto Rico chromosome 4, complete genome